AGAGUUUGAUCCUGGCUCAGAAUCAACGCUGGCGGCGUGCCUAACACAUGCAAGUCGCACGAGAAAGGGUAGCAAUACCUGAGUACAGUGGCGCACGGGUGAGUAACACGUGAAUCAUCUACCUUCGAGUGGGGAAUAACUGGGAGAAAUCUCAGCUAAUACCGCAUAACACCUACGGGUCAAAGCAGCAAUGCGCUUGAAGAGGAGUUCGCGGCAGAUUAGUUAGUUGGCGGGGUAAUGGCCCACCAAGACGAUGAUCUGUAUCCGGCCUGAGAGGGCGCACGGACACACUGGAACUGAAACACGGUCCAGACUCCUACGGGAGGCAGCAGUGGGGAAUUUUGCGCAAUGGGGGAAACCCUGACGCAGCAACGCCGCGUGGAGGAUGAAAUCCCUUGGGAUGUAAACUCCUUUCGAUCGGGACGAUUAUGACGGUACCGGAAGAAGAAGCCCCGGCUAACUUCGUGCCAGCAGCCGCGGUAAUACGAGGGGGGCAAGCGUUGUUCGGAAUUAUUGGGCGUAAAGGGCGCGUAGGCGGUUUGACAAGUCUGAUGUGAAAUCUAUGGGCUCAACCCAUAGCCUGCAUUAGAAACUGUCGGGCUUGAGUAUGGGAGAGGUGAGUGGAAUUUCCGGUGUAGCGGUGAAAUGCGUAGAUAUCGGAAGGAACACCUGUGGCGAAAGCGGCUCACUGGACCAUAACUGACGCUGAGGCGCGAAAGCUAGGGGAGCAAACAGGAUUAGAUACCCUAGUAGUCC
rnacentral:rRNA from 1 species